rnacentral:rRNA from 1 species
UACGGAGGGUGCGAGCGUUAAUCGGAAUUACUGGGCGUAAAGCGCACGUAGGUGGUUGGGUAAGUCGGAUGUGAAAGCCCUGGGCUUAACCUGGGAACUGCAUUCGAUACUGCCCGGCUAGAGUAUGGGAGAGGGAAGCAGAAUUUCCGGUGUAGCGGUGAAAUGCGUAGAUAUCGGAAGGAAUACCAAUGGCGAAGGCAGCUUCCUGGCCCAAUACUGACGCUCAGGUGCGAAAGCGUGGGGAUCAAACAGG